GACGAACGCUGGCGGCGUGCUUAACACAUGCAAGUCGAACGGAAAGGCCCUGCUUUUGUGGGGUGCUCGAGUGGCGAACGGGUGAGUAACACGUGAGUAACCUGCCCUUGACUUUGGGAUAACUUCAGGAAACUGGGGCUAAUACCGGAUAGGAGCUCCUGCUGCAUGGUGGGGGUUGGAAAGUUUCGGCGGUUGGGGAUGGACUCGCGGCUUAUCAGCUUGUGGGUGGGGUAGUGGCUUACCGAGGCUUUGACGGGUAGCCGGCCUGGGAGGGUGACCGGCCACAUUGGGACUGGGAUACGGCCCAGACUCCUACGGGAGGCAGCAGUGGGGAAUAUUGCACAAUGGGCGGAAGCCUGAUGCAGCAACGCCGCGUGCGGGAUGACGGCCUUCGGGUUGUAAACCGCUUUCGCCUGUGACGAAGCGUGAGUGACGGUAAUGGGUAAAGAAGCACCGGCUAACUACGUG
rnacentral:rRNA from 1 species